GAUGAAGAACGCAGCGAAAUGCGAUAGGUAAUGUGAAUUGCAGAAUUCAGUGAAUCAUCGAAUCUUUGAACGCACAUUGCGCCCCUUGGUAUUCCAUGGGGCAUGCCUGUUCGAGCGUCAUUUGUACCUUCAAGCUCUGCUUGGUGUUGGGUGUUUGUCUCGCCUCUGCGCGUAGACUCGCCUCAAAACAAUUGGCAGCCGGCGUAUUGAUUUCGGAGCGCAGUACAUCUCGCGCCUUGCACUCAUAACGACGACGUCCAAAAGUACAUUUUUACACUCUUGACCUCGGAUCAGGUAGGGAUACCCGCUGAACUUAAGCAUAUCAAUAAGCGGAGGA
rnacentral:misc_RNA from 1 species